UAUUCAUACCAUCUCCGUAAUUCUAGUCAUUAUGAUCAGCGACGCGGCGGCAGUGGUGCACAGAGUAGUGGUGCUGCACCCACGUGGGGCAAUGCUACGCUUAACACCGAUUUCGUAAUGGUAGUGGUGACGCUAGUGCAGUUUAAUCCAGUCCUGGUGAUUCAUGACUGAUUUCACAUGAACAGGACUAGCUAGCUCAGAAAAGGUCCUAUUUCUUUGAAUGGUCUGUGACACCUUGGAGGUUAUGGUGUGGUGACAAUGUAGUGCAGGAAGGACAGUCUGUAUCUGUCCAACGCAAGUCAUGACAGGCAGCAUGACACAAAUGGCGAUCCUGAGUGUGGCCUUCCAAGUCUCUGUAUAGACAGACGACGCACGUACCUCUUGCGUUACUAUUGUUUACUAGCCCACUACUGCGAUGACCUAGUACGUGAUGUUCACUAUAAAGAGCCAGUAAACUCAUGACAGAAGACAAGAGAGAAGUGUUCCUGCCACAGGUGAUUAAGUGCUGUUAGAAUGAUGAGCACUGCCCUGUGACGAUAAGCUUACGAACGUUUUAGGGGACUGUGUAUGCAUUCCGGGGCAAAAAUAUGCAUGAUACUCAAAGAUUGAUUAGCGAAGCAGCUCGGAUAUAGCCGACGAGGUCUUGAGACACCCAGCACAACGCCUCCACCACCCCGGUCACCCCGGCACAAAAUAAGUGCAUGGGUCAUCAAGGUCAUCUUAUGAGGCCUCCCAGACUUGGGAAAUGAGGCAUGUGCAUCUGCCUCCCUAGCAUCCUUGAAACUUCUCACCAAGCAGUGGACUGUCCUCAGCUGUACCCUGUUUGAUAUGCUAUAAAUGGAAGACUGUGGCCAGCUUUGUGGGAAGGACAGCUGCUGGUUCCAGGUGGGGUUGGGACCCUCUGCCACACUGGUGCUCCGUGUGGUGCGCUGGAAAGUCACCUCCACCAGGGUCCUCACACAGCCGCCAUCACCGCCACCACCAACACCACCACCAAGGCUGUCUAGGGUCACGCAGCACCUGAGUCUCCAACGCAGGCACCAAGCGGGCAUCACGGUACAGAGGCUCCCCUUGGUCCCGCAGCUCCAGGACCCGUAGCCUCACACCACCUCCACGCCCGCCCUCCCAGCCAGCCACCCCCUCAAACUCCAGGUGGGCAAUCAGGGCAGCAUUAGCAGGAUCAUUGGGGUCCAGCCGUGCUUCCUGUAACCACUGCCGUGUAUUUGCCACACCACCUUCAGGGGGAGCCACCCACUGCCAGGAAGCCACAUGGCCACCAUGCACUCACACUGAACUUUACUUGAAGCCUUUGGUAGAAAAGUAAAGAAAGAAAAGUAAAAACAUGUUCAGUCAAUAUCUGCAUUCCAAACAUACAUUACAAGCACACACUUGGUCAGUUUUACCUUAAGAGCAGUGGAAGAGGUUGGAGGGAUGGCAGCAUGGGUAGGUGGAGGUCCAAGUGGAGCCAGUACCUCUCCUUCUGCUCCAGUGGCCCACCCUAGCUUAUACUUCAGUUCACCUGUGAAAAUGUAGUGAACCAACUCACCUGGCUGCCGCUGAACUGUGCCACCUCUGGGGCAUCUUUGGUGGUGGCAGUGCAGCCUGGGAUUGGCAAAGUGAUGGAGGCCACCAGUGUCUGCCUUAGAGAAGCUCCUUCCACCACCUCUACAGUCAGACUGCGUGGCCAUGAUGACAGGGCCAUCCGGAAGGUGUGGCCAAGAGGCAGGGUGAAGUCAGCUCCCAGGGUUGUUGAAGAAGUCUGAGUCACCAACUUGUUGUUGACCAGUACCUAUCAUUCACAAGCAAAUAAAAGGCAGAUAUGAAGGAAUGUGAGGGAAAUUUGACAUAACUGAGUAAUGAAAAUCAGAGUUAAAUACGAUUAUAGAAAAGGUAGUAUAUUUAUUAUCCUUUACAACUUAUAGAUAUGUAUGCCAAAAAUAAUCUGCUAUCUGCCUGAUGGUCAUCCUCUCUUUAGAAUAAGAUACAUCUCCCAUUUAACAUAAAAGGUAUUAUAAGAGUACAUGGAGUAGCAAGUGCUUCUUCAAAAAACACCAGUUGAAACAGUGUUCAUAACCUUGGCAUCAGAUUCUGCAUGGUUUCUGAUGAACUGAAAAGGUAAAUAAAUAUGUAUACUGCCAUAU